rnacentral:rRNA from 1 species
AGGACGAACGCUGGCGGCGUGCUUAACACAUGCAAGUCAAGGGGGCCCAGCAAUGGGCAACCGGCGAACGGGUGCGUAACACGUGAGCAACCUACCGAAAUGUGGGGGAUAGCCGGCCUAACGGCCGAGUAAUACCGCAUACGCUCUCGAUGAGGCAUUUCAUUGAGAGGAAACCUACGGGACAUUUCGAGGGGCUCGCGGCCUAUCAGCUAGUUGGAGAGGUAACGGCUCACCAAGGCAACGACGGGUAG